GGGCGGGUGGUGGAAUUGGUAGACACGCAAGCUUGAGGGGCUUGUGAGCGUAAGCUCGUGGAGGUUCAAGUCCUCUUCCGCCCACCA
rnacentral:tRNA from 1 species